UACACAGCUUGGAUUCAAGGCUUUGACACUAAUUAGUUGUUUGACCUUGGGCGAGGCACAGUACCCCCUCAAUUUAGCUUUCUUUCUUAGUUUCCUCCUUUGUAAGUAGAAGAAAACAAGAAAACAUAAGGAAAAUAAUUCCUGCCACACAGAGUUGAAGAAAUAAAUGACACACAAAACAGUAAAGCAUCAUCACAUAUUGGAGGCAAAUCUAAGUAAAUGGAUAUCUGGAUGAGAGGUGAAAGAAAGAUUAUGCCAUAAACCAGUAGAGAGCCAACGUUCUUUUAACUUUUCUAAUAACUGGAAAGGAAAAAGAAAAAAAAAUGAACGUUUUGUGUGUCCAACUGAACUUACCUUGGUUUGCUGAAAGAAAAUGUG